rnacentral:lncRNA from 1 species
UAUUUCAGCUUCAUGCCAGGCAGCACUGGAGAUGUUUCUGUGACUGAGAAAGUGCAGGAACAGUAAAGUCAAGUUAGUAGAUGAAAUCUUCAUAUAAUCAGCACUUCUAGACUUCACAUUUGGAGUUGGAGCCUGUGACAUGUCUGUAGUUUGACUCAAAUUACUCAUCCAAGAUCUCUCAAGAACCAUUUCUGAGCCAGGACAGCCCUGGAGAUGACAAGGAGAGGAACAUAGCAGGCUGGAGAGAGGCUUGCCUGGUGAGAGCAGAGCUGUAGUAGCCCUGGGGCUGUCAAGCAUGGCUCUGGCUCCAGACGUCAGGCACUAUAUAGUGACUGAAGAUUUCUGCCUUUAUUCCAGGACCAGUCCCAAUAAUUGGAAAGACUGAUUGCUGCAGCAACUGAUCACAAGUAGA